rnacentral:rRNA from 1 species
UACGUAGGGUGCGAGCGUUGCCCGGAUUUAUUGGGCGUAAAGGGCGCGUAGGCGGCCACGCACGUCCGUUGUGAAAUCGCCCGGCUCAACUGGGCGGGGUCAGCGGAUACGGUGUGGCUAGAGCAAGCUAGGGGGCAAUGGAAUUCCCGGUGUAGUGGUGGAAUGCGUAGAUAUCGGGAGGAACACCAGUGGCGAAGGCGGGUUACUGGGCUGAUACUGACGCUGAUGCGCGAAAGCCAGGGGAGCAAACGGG